rnacentral:rRNA from 1 species
AUUGAACGCUGGCGGCAUGCCUUACACAUGCAAGUCGAACGGCAGCACGGGUGCUUGCACCUGGUGGCGAGUGGCGAACGGGUGAGUAAUAUAUCGGAACGUACCUUAUUGUGGGGGAUAACGCAGCGAAAGCUGUGCUAAUACCGCAUAAUCCCUAAGGGGGAAAGCGGGGGACCGUAAGGCCUCGCGCAAUUAGAGCGGCCGAUACCUGAUUAGCUAGUUGGUGAGGUAAAGGCUCACCAAGGCAACGAUCAGUAGCUGGUCUGAGAGGACGAUCAGCCACACUGGGACCGAGACACGGCCCAGACUCCUACGGGAGGCAGCAGUGGGGAAUUUUGGACAAUGGGGGCAACCCUGAUCCAGCAAUGCCGCGUGAGUGAAGAAGGCCUUCGGGUUGUAAAGCUCUUUUGUCAGGGAAGAAACAGCAGCUCUAACACAGUAUGCGAAUGACGGUACCUGAAGAAUAAGCACCGGCUAACUACGUGCCAGCCGCCGCAGUAC